rnacentral:rRNA from 1 species
AUGAACGCUAGCGGCAGGCUUAAUACAUGCAAGUCGAGGGGCAGCAGGACGGUAGCAAUACCGUUGCUGGCGACCGGCAAACGGGUGCGGAACACGUACGCAACUUACCCAUAACUGGGGGGAUAGCCCGGGGAAACCCGGAUUAAUACCUCGUAACAUCAUUGAGUGGCAUCACUUGAUGAUUAUAGCUCCGGCGGUUAUGGAUGGGCGUGCGGCUGAUUAGGUAGUUGGCGGGGGUAACGGCCCACCAAGCCUGCGAUCAGUAACUGGUGUGAGAGCACGACCAGUCACACGGGCACUGAGACACGGGCCCGACUCCUACGGGAGGCAGCAGUAAGGAAUAUUGGUCAAUGGACGCAAGUCUGAACCAGCCAUGCCGCGUGAAGGAUGAAGGUCCUCUGGAUUGUAAACUUCUUUUAUAUGGGACGAAACCCGGGUAUUCCUACCCGAUUGACGGUACCAUAGGAAUAAGCACCGGCUAACUCCGUGCCAGCAGCCGCGGUAAUACGGAGGGUGCAAGCGUUAUCCGGAUUCACUGGGUUUAAAGGGUGCGUAGGAGGGCAGGUAAGUCAGUGGUGAAAUCUCCGGGCUUAACUCGGAAACUGCCGUUGAUACUAUCUGUCUUGAAUACCGUGGAGGUGAGCGGAAUAUGUCAUGUAGCGGUGAAAUGCUUAGAUAUGACAUAGAACACCGAUUGCGAAGGCAGCUCACUACACGAAUAUUGACUCUGAGGCACGAAAGCGUGGGGAUCAAACAGGAUUAGAUACCCUGGUAGUCCACGCCCCUAAACUAUGGAUACUCGACAUACGCGAUACACUGUGUGUGUCUGAGCGAAAGCAUUAAGUAUCCCACCUGGGAAGUACGACCGCAAGGUUUGAAACUCAAAGGAAUUGGCGGGGGUCCGCACAAGCGGUGGAGCAUGUGGUUUUAAUUCGAUGAUACGCGAGGAACCUUACCUGGGCUAGAAUGCUGGUGGACCGUGGGUGAAAGCUCACUUUGUAGCAAUACACCGCCAGUAAGGUGCUGCAUGGCUGUCGUCAGCUCGUGCCGUGAGGUGUUGGGUUAAGUCCCGCAACGAGCGCAACCCCCAUCACUAGUUGCCAUCAGGUAACGCUGGGAACUCUAGUGAAACUGCCGUCGUAAGACGUGAGGAAGGAGGGGAUGAUGUCAAGUCAUCAUGGCCUUUAUGCCCAGGGCUACACACGUGCUACAAUGGGGCGUACAAAGGGCUGCCAUUUAGCGAUAAGGAGCCAAUCCCAAAAAAACGCCUCUCAGUUCAGAUUGGAGUCUGCAACUCGACUCCAUGAAGCUGGAAUCGCUAGUAAUCGUAUAUCAGCAAUGAUACGGUGAAUACGUUCCCGGACCUUGCACACACCGCCCGUCAAGCCAUGGAAGCUGGGUGUACCUAAAGUCGGUAACCGCAAGGAGCCGCCUAGGGUAAAACUAGUAACUGGGGCU